AUUGUGCGGCGCUGGUCCCCUCAGAGGGUUCCUGCUGCUGCCGGUGCCUUGGACCCUCCCCCUCGCUUCUCGUUCUACUGCCCCAGGAGCCCGGCGGGUCCGGGACUCCCGUCCGUGCCGGUGCGGGCGCCGGCAUGUGGCUGUGGGAGGACCAGGGCGGCCUCCUGGGCCCUUUCUCCUUCCUGCUGCUAGUGCUGCUGCUGGUGACGCGGAGCCCGGUCAAUGCCUGCCUCCUCACCGGCAGCCUCUUCGUUCUACUGCGCGUCUUCAGCUUUGAGCCGGUGCCCUCUUGCAGGGCCCUGCAGGUGCUCAAGCCCCGGGACCGCAUUUCUGCCAUCGCCCACCGUGGCGGCAGCCACGACGCGCCCGAGAACACGCUGGCGGCCAUUCGGCAGGCAGCUAAGAAUGGAGCAACAGGCGUGGAGUUGGACAUUGAGUUUACUUCUGACGGGAUUCCUGUCUUAAUGCACGAUAACACAGUAGAUAGGACGACUGAUGGGACUGGGCGAUUGUGUGAUUUGACAUUUGAACAAAUUAGGAAGCUGAAUCCUGCAGCAAACCACAGACUCAGGAAUGAUUUCCCUGAUGAAAAGAUCCCUACCCUAAGGGAAGCUGUUGCAGAGUGCCUAAACCAUAACCUCACAAUCUUCUUUGAUGUCAAAGGCCAUGCACACAAGGCUACUGAGGCUCUAAAGAAAAUGUAUAUGGAAUUUCCUCAACUGUAUAAUAAUAGUGUGGUCUGUUCUUUCUUGCCAGAAGUUAUCUACAAGGUAACAUUCGGGAUUUUUCUUGUACAUAUUAGAUGAGACAAACAGAUCGGGAUGUAAUAACAGCAUUAACUCACAGACCUUGGAGCCUAAGCCAUACAGGAGAUGGGAAACCACGCUAUGAUACUUUCUGGAAACAUUUUAUAUUUGUUAUGAUGGACAUUUUGCUCGAUUGGAGCAUGCAUAAUAUCUUGUGGUACCUGUGUGGAAUUUCAGCUUUCCUCAUGCAAAAGGAUUUUGUAUCCCCGGCCUACUUGAAGAAGUGGUCAGCUAAAGGAAUCCAGGUUGUUGGUUGGACUGUUAAUACCUUUGAUGAAAAGAGUUACUACGAAUCCCAUCUUGGUUCCAGCUAUAUCACUGACAGCAUGGUAGAAGACUGCGAACCUCACUUCUAGACUUUCACGGUGGGACGAAACGGGUUCAGAAACUGCCAGGGGCCUCAUACAGGGAUAUCAAAAUACCCUUUGUGCUAGCCCAGGCCCUGGGGAAUCAGGUGACUCACACAAAUGCAAUAGUUGGUCACUGCAUUUUUACCUGAACCAAAGCUAAACCCGGUGUUGCCACCAUGCACCAUGGCAUGCCAGAGUUCAACACUGUUGCUCUUGAAAAUCUGGGUCUGAAAAAACGCACAAGAGCCCCUGCCCUGCCCUAGCUGAGGCACACAGGGAGACCCAGUGAGGAUAAGCACAGAUUGAAUUGUACAGUUUGCAGAUGCAGAUGUAAAUGCAUGGGACAUGCAUGAUAACUCAGAGUUGACAUUUUAAAACUUGCCACACUUAUUUCAAAUAUUUGUACUCAGCUAUGUUAACAUGUACUGUAGACAUCAAACUUGUGGCCAUACUAAUAAAAUUAUUAAAAGGAGCACUAAAGGAAAACUGUGUGCCAAGCAUCAUAUCCUAAGGCAUACGGAAUUUGGGGAAGCCACCAUGCAAUCCAGUGAGGCUUCAGUGUACAGCAACCAAAAUGGUAGGGAGGUCUUGAAGCCAAUGAGGGAUUUAUAGCAUCUUGAAUAGAGAGCUGCAAACCACCAGGGGGCAGAGUUGCAUUUUUCCAGGCUUUUUAGGAAGCUCUGCAACAGAUGUGAUCUGAUCAUAGGCAAUUAGAACUGGAAGAAACUUCCAAAAAUAUCUAGGUUUGUCCUCAUUUUACAAAUGAGGAAACUAAACUCUGUGGAAGGGAAGGGGUUGCCUCAAAAGUCACAGCUUAGCUGGGCACAGUGGCUCAUGCCGAUAAUCCCAGCAAUUCAGAAAGCUGAGGCAGGAGGAUUACUUGAGGCCAGACUGGGCAAUAUAGCAAGACCCCAUCUCUAAAAAAUUAGGCAUGGUGGUGCAUGCCUGUAUUCCCAGCUACUCAGGAGGUUGAGGUGGGAGGAUCACUUGAGCCCAGAAGUUCAAGGCUGCAAUGAGCCAUGAUUACACCACGGCACUACAACCUUGGUGGCACAGUGAGAACCUGACUCUUAAAAAAAAAAAAAAAAAAAAAAAAAAAAAGAUAACUAGAACUUCUAGAACAUCUUGUUUACAGUUAGCCAGAAACUAUACAAGUGGUUUAACAUGCAUUAUCUUACUCAAUCCAUACAAAAGUCUUAUGGAGGUGUUAGCACUCUUUCUACUGAUGAAGAACUGAGGUACUUCAUAAAACCACUUACCCAAGGUGUCUUGAGUCUGGUACAACUGGCAUUCAAAUCUAGGUCAGUCUGCCCCCAGAGCCACUACCCUUACCCCUCACUGAAUCUGCCUUUAUAUUGUUGAGCCCAUGACCCCAAACUGCUCUUUCCAAUUUGAACUUCCAGGGAUUUUAUUGUGAACUUACAUAGCAACAUUAAAAUGAAGUUGAAUUGUUUUUAAUGGCAACGCCGUCUGUCUCCUCUAGCUUACCGCUUCUCACCUUUCAACCCCAUCUGUGGCCUUUGUCCAGGCCCACAGCUUAGCCAUGGCUUCCCUCCUGCAUCCCUGCCGUGGGUUGCUGGCCUCACACUUGCAGCAGCUGGACAGUGAUUUUAGAAGGCCACCAGUCCCCAUAGCUAUGUGACAAUGAGAAGCAAACUUUUUUGUGACAGAUUGUAUUGGCAUAGGCAUGAUAGAUGGGGAUUGGUACGUUUUGAAUCAGCAUUUGCAAAAAAAUUGUCUUGAAUUUUAAAAUAAACAACAAAGAUUUGUUCAUUGAGUGCAA